rnacentral:lncRNA from 1 species
UGGUUAUUUAUUGCUCUAUAACAAACCAGUCUAAAAUUUAGUGACUUAAUAUGACCAUUUUAUUUUGCUCAUGAUUCAUGGGUCAGAAGUUUGGAAAGGUCUUGGCUAGAAGGUUCACCUCUGAUGCAUGUUAUAACUAGAUGGUUGAGGCUGGAAGAUCCAGUUCCAGCAUGGCUUCUUCAUUCUGAUGCCCUGGUGCUUUGUGGUCAUGUCCUUUCUUCACAUGUCAUCUCAUCCUUGUGGGCAGUUAAGCUACCAAACCAUUAAGGGCUAAGACUGGAACAGGUUUAGCAUUAUUUCUACUGUGUCCUGUUGGGGCAGUCACAGGAGUCAUCCAGAUUCAAGGGAAUGGAGAAAUAGACUUUGUAUCUUGAUGGGGGAAUGAAUGGCAGGGUCAUGUUCCAGAUGAUUGUGUGUGGCCAUCUUUGGAAAAUAUAAUCUGUUAUGCAUUAUGUCCAAAAGUGCCUUGGCAGUGAUGAUGAGGAAAAUUAUAAAAGUGCAAUAAGAUUGCAUAUUUAGAGCUAAAGUGAGCUAUUUUUGUCUGUCAAAUUGACUGUUUUAAGAGUUCCCAUUUCUAGGAAAGUUAUAGGGAAACAGUCCUUAUACUGUUGGAAGAGUGUGGUUUGGUAGUGCUUUUGUGAAAGAGAAAGGAAUAAAAUAUCUCUGAAUUUAAAAAUACGUAUGAUUUGAGGAGUUCCCAUCGUGGCUUAGCAGAAACAAAUCUGACUAGCAUCCAUGAAGACACAGGUUCGAUCCCUGGCCUCCCUCAGUGGGUUAAGGAUGUGGCGUUGCUGUGAGCUGUGGUGUAGGUCACAGAUAUGCAACUUGUAUCCCGAGUUGCUGUGGCUGUGGUGUAGGCCGGCAGCUGCAGCUCCGAUUGGACCCCUAGCCUGGAAACUUCCAUAUGCCGCGGGUGCGGCCCUAGAAAACACACACAAAAGAAGUCUUGUUUAUUUUUUUUCCAGUGGUCUCUGAGAAUUAUGCUGUCAUUUCUUCUUGUGAACUAGGUUUUUGCUUUUUUAAAGUUGAAAAAACCCAAAAGAUAAUUUCAUGACACAGUGAAAGUUAUACAAAACUUAAAUUUCAGUGUUCAUAAAGAAUGUUUUAUUGAAACACAGCCGUGCUUAUUCAUUUACGUAUUAUCAAUGGUAGGUGUUUUUUGGUUUUUUUUUUUGUUUGUUUUUUGUUUUUUUUUUUCUACAACAGCAGAAUUGAGUAAUUGGAACAGGGACUAUAUGGCCCUCAAAGCUUAAUAUUUAUUAUUAUCUAUAUGGUAAAUUUGCCAAUACUUGUUCUAAUUUGCUUGAUGCUUGGUUUAUAUAAACCACUUCUCUACUCUGCCUUUCAUAAGAGAAUGAGAUACAGACCUCAAUUUAUGGGGAUAAUGUCCUGUUAUAUUAUGUGAAAAGAAAAAGAAUUUAGAGUAAAAUUUAGAAUGUGUAAUAUGACACUGUGUAUGUCAAAGGGCUAGAUAUUAAAAAGUCUGAAAAGCCAUUAACUUAUUUUAUCUCUGGGAAGUGGGAAUAUGCUUGUCAGCCAUUAUUUUUGAAGUUUUGUUUACAAAAAUAAGUGCUGUUAGUAAAAAAACAUUAUGGGAAAAAAGAAGCAAUACAUUCUUCGACUUUCCCCUCUGCCCCCUACAACUUUUUAUUUUAAAAAUGUUCAAACUUACUGAAAUGUUGAAAGGAUGUACAGCAGAUACCUAACUCUUCUAGAUUCACCAGUUGUUAACAUUUUGGCACAUUUUCUUCCUCUAUCUGCAUUUCUCUCUCUCACAUACACAUACACACAUUUUUACAGGUUGCGUGUACAUAUUUUUAAAAAAACACUUGAAAGCUCAGCAUGCAUCUUCUAAAAACAAGGACAUUCUCCUUAAUAGUCACAUUUAUAACACUAACAGUAAUUACACAUUUGAAUUUUCCCAGUUGUGCCAGUAUGUCUUUCAUAAGUAGGUUUUUUUUUUCUUUGAUUCAGCAUCCAAUUAAGGUUCAUGCAGUGGAUUGCUUUUUGAUUACUUUUAGCCGACUGUACAUUCUGUAUUCAUUAUCUCUCACUGGAGCAACUUAGCAUUAAGAAAAUAUUAGAUUACUAUGGUGCUAGGUGAGGUCUCAUUCAUACCUGAGGCCUUGAUUUGGGUAAGGGCCAAAUUGUGCAAGACUUUGUGUAUAUCAUGUAAAGGAUUUUGGUGGAUCGUCAUAGAAGUAUUGUAGGAAGCUUUUAUAAAGAUAUGACAUGUUCAAAUUUGUAUAAUAUAUAAAACUAACUUUUGAGGGAAAAUAUUUUAGUAUAUUACAAUUUGCUACAAAAUGAUAUACAUAGCCUUGAACAAAAGUGUAAAUACAUUUUUGAGAUAAUCCGGGAAAGCCAAACAUGAAGUGAUUAUUGGUUAUUAUUAAGGAAUUAUUGUUAUCAUGUGUGAUAGUGAUAAAGAGGUUCUAUUAAAAUUCUUUUAAUCUGUUCAAGGUCAAUAAAAUAAUAUAACAUCUGGUGUUUUUUUUGAAGUGCAUCAGCAGAAAAGUAGCAUAGGAUUACAUGAAACAAGAAUGACAAGUUUUGGGAGUUCGUCUUGUGGCUCAGUGGGAACAAAUCUGACAUCCAUGAGGACGCGGGUUCGAUCCCUGGCCUUGCUCAGUGGGUUAAGGAUCUGGUGUUACCGUGAGCUGUGGUGUAGGUUGCAGAUUGUGGCUUAGAUCUGGCAUGGCUGUGGCUGUGGCAUAGGCCAGUGGCUACAGCUCCGAUUGGACUCCUAGCCUGGGAACCUUCAUGUGCUGCAGGUGCAACCCUAAAAAG